GAAGUGCGAAUGCUGACAUAAGUAACGAUAAAGCGGGUGAAAAGCCCGCUCGCCGGAAGACCAAGGGUUCCUGUCCAACGUUAAUCGGGGCAGGGUGAGUCGACCCCUAAGGCGAGGCCGAAAGGCGUAGUCGAUGGGAAACGGGUUAAUAUUCCCGUACUUGGUGUUACUGCGAAGGGGGGACGGAGAAGGCUAUGUUGGCCGGGCGACGGUUGUCCCGGUUUAAGCGUGUAGGUGUGUGUUCCAGGUAAAUCCGGUUCACUUUAACACUGAGGCGUGACGACGAGGCACUACGGUGCUGAAGCAACAAAUGCCCUGCUUCCAGGAAAA
rnacentral:rRNA from 1 species